rnacentral:lncRNA from 1 species
UAGAAUACCUUCAGCUUGAGUCAUCUUUCCCUUUCCCAAUAACCUAUUAUUUAAUUUUAUAGUAACACAAUUGUCUUGAUGAGACAGUUUUUCUAUUCAUGCAUACAUUUAAGUCUUUCUGUUAUAAUUAUCUCUUUGUGGGACAUACAAAAAUAAUUACCAUGUGUUUCUGUCCAAUAAUGGAGAAACAGGUGCAAAAAGCUAUAUUUAGAAAAAGGCAGAUACAGAAGGGAUAAAUAUUAAAGAAUUUAGUUGGUAAUUGGAUUGUCUAGUUUAGGGAAUAUGAUAUUGAGCUAAAACUCUUGCAUAGUGCUAGGUAGGCUGCUGU